rnacentral:sRNA from 1 species
UUGCGAUGUUGAGCCCGAGACAGCUUCGU